GAUGAACGCUAGCUACAGGCUUAACACAUGCAAGUCGAGGGGUAGCAGGGUAGCAAUACCGCUGACGACCGGCGCACGGGUGAGUAACACGUAUCCAACCUUCCCAUAACUCGGGGAUAGCCUUUCGGACGAAAGAUUAAUACCCGAUAGUACUUUUUCAAGGCAUCUUGAGAAAGUUAAAGAUUUAUUGGUUAUGGAUGGGGAUGCGUUCCAUUAGAUAGUUGGUGAGGUAACGGCUCACCAAGUCUUCGAUGGAUAGGGGUUCUGAGAGGAAGGUCCCCCACAUUGGUACUGAGACACGGACCAAACUCCUACGGGAGGCAGCAGUGAGGAAUAUUGGUCAAUGGGCGAGAGCCUGAACCAGCCAAGUAGCGUGAAGGAUGAAGGUCCUAUGGAUUGUAAACUUCUUUUAUAGUAGAAUAAAGUGAUCCACGUGUGGAUUUUUGUAUGUAUACUAUGAAUAAGGAUCGGCUAACUCCGUGCCAGCCGCCGCGGUAAAAC
rnacentral:rRNA from 1 species